GACGAACGCUGGCGGCGCGCUUAACACAUGCAAGUCGAGCGAAGCGGCGGACGGGUGAGUAACACGUGAGUAACCUGCCUUAGACAUUGGGAUAGCCUCGGGAAAACGGGAUUAAUACCACAUGGUCUAAGAUGGACUCGCGUCCCAUUAGCACGUUGGGAGGUAACGGCCCACAAAGGCGACGAUGGGUAGCCGGCCGGAGAGGGUGAGCGGCCACAUUGGAACUGAGAAACGGUCCAAACUCUACGGGAGGCAGCAGUGGGGAAUAUAGCACAAUGGAGGGAACGCUGAUGGAGCGACGCCGCGUGAACGCAGAAGGCUUUCGAGUCGUAAAGUGCUUUUAUAUGGGAAGCGGUACCAUAAGAAAAAGCCCCGGCUAACUACGUGCCAGCCGCCGCGGUAAUAC
rnacentral:rRNA from 1 species